rnacentral:rRNA from 1 species
CUACGGGAGGCUGCAGUGGGGAAUAUUGCACAAUGGAGGAAACUCUGAUGCAGCAACGCCGCGUGGAGGAUGACACUUUUCGGAGCGUAAACUCCUUUUAUAUAGGAAGAAGAUGACGGUACUAUAUGAAUAAGCGCCGGCUAACUCCGUACCAGCAGCCGCGGUAAUACGGAGGGCGCAAGCGUUACUCGGAAUCACUGGGCGUAAAGAGCGUGUAGGCGGAUUAAAAAGUCAGAAGUGAAAUCCUAUAGCUUAACUAUAGAACUGCUUCUGAAACUCUUAAUCUAGAAUAUGGGAGAGGUAGAUGGAAUUUCUGGUGUAGGGGUAAAAUCCGUAGAGAUCAGAAGGAAUACCGAUUGCGAAGGCGAUCUACUAGAACAUUAUUGACGCUGAGACGCGAAAGCGUGGGGAGCAAACAGGAUUAGAUACCCCGGUAGUC